GAUUAAGUUAUUAAGGGCGCACGGUGGAUGCCUUGGCACUAGAAGCCGAUGAAGGACGUUACUAACGACGAUAUGCUUUGGGGAGCUGUAAGUAAGCUUUGAUCCAGAGAUUUCCGAAUGGGGAAACCCAGCAUGAGUUAUGUCAUGUUAUCGAUAUGUGAAUACAUAGCAUUUCAGAAGGCACACCCGGAGAACUGAAACAUCUUAGUACCCGGAGGAAGAGAAAGAAAAUUCGAUUCCCUUAGUAGCGGCGAGCGAAACGGGAAGAGCCCAAACCAACAAGCUUGCUUGUUGGGGUUGUAGGACACUCUAUACGGAGUUACAAAGGACGACAUUAGACGAAUCAUCUGGAAAGAUGAAUCAAAGAAGGUAAUAAUCCUGUAGUCGAAAAUGUUGUCUCUCUUGAGUGGAUCCUGAGUACGACGGAGCACGUGAAAUUCCGUCGGAAUCUGGGAGGACCAUCUCCUAAGGCUAAAUACUCUCUAGUGACCGAUAGUGAACCAGUACCGUGAGGGAAAGGUGAAAAGCACCCCGGAAGGGGAGUGAAAUAGAACCUGAAACCGUGUGCUUACAAGUAGUCAGAGCCCGUUAAUGGGUGAUGGCGUGCCUUUUGUAGAAUGAACCGGCGAGUUACGAUUUGAUGCAAGGUUAAGCAGUAAAUGUGGAGCCGUAGCGAAAGCGAGUCUGAAUAGGGCGUUUAGUAUUUGGUCGUAGACCCGAAACCAGGUGAUCUACCCUUGGUCAGGUUGAAGUUCAGGUAACACUGAAUGGAGGACCGAACCGACUUACGUUGAAAAGUGAGCGGAUGAACUGAGGGUAGCGGAGAAAUUCCAAUCGAACCUGGAGAUAGCUGGUUCUCUCCGAAAUAGCUUUAGGGCUAGCCUCAAGUGAUGAUUAUUGGAGGUAGAGCACUGUUUGGACGAGGGGCCCCUCUCGGGUUACCGAAUUCAGACAAACUCCGAAUGCCAAUUAAUUUAACUUGGGAGUCAGAACAUGGGUGAUAAGGUCCGUGUUCGAAAGGGAAACAGCCCAGACCACCAGCUAAGGUCCCAAAAUAUAUGUUAAGUGGAAAAGGAUGUGGCGUUGCCCAGACAACUAGGAUGUUGGCUUAGAAGCAGCCAUCAUUUAAAGAGUGCGUAAUAGCUCACUAGUCGAGUGACACUGCGCCGAAAAUGUACCGGGGCUAAACAUAUUACCGAAGCUGUGGAUUGUCCUUUGGACAAUGGUAGGAGAGCGUUCUAAGGGCGUUGAAGCAUGAUCGUAAGGACAUGUGGAGCGCUUAUAAGUGAGAAUGCCGGUGUGAGUAGCGAAAGACGGGUGAGAAUCCCGUCCACCGAUUGACUAAGGUUUCCAGAGGAAGGCUCGUCCGCUCUGGGUUAGUCGGGUCCUAAGCUGAGGCCGACAGGCGUAGGCGAUGGAUAACAGGUUGAUAUUCCUGUACCACCUAUAAUCGUUUUAAUCGAUGGGGGGACGCAGUAGGAUAGGCGAAGCGUGCGAUUGGAUUGCACGUCUAAGCAGUAAGGCUGAGUAUUAGGCAAAUCCGGUACUCGUUAAGGCUGAGCUGUGAUGGGGAGAAGACAUUGUGUCUUCGAGUCGUUGAUUUCACACUGCCGAGAAAAGCCUCUAGAUAGAAAAUAGGUGCCCGUACCGCAAACCGACACAGGUAGUCAAGAUGAGAAUUCUAAGGUGAGCGAGCGAACUCUCGUUAAGGAACUCGGCAAAAUGACCCCGUAACUUCGGGAGAAGGGGUGCUCUUUAGGGUUAACGCCCAGAAGAGCCGCAGUGAAUAGGCCCAAGCGACUGUUUAUCAAAAACACAGGUCUCUGCUAAACCGUAAGGUGAUGUAUAGGGGCUGACGCCUGCCCGGUGCUGGAAGGUUAAGAGGAGUGGUUAGCUUCUGCGAAGCUACGAAUCGAAGCCCCAGUAAACGGCGGCCGUAACUAUAACGGUCCUAAGGUAGCGAAAUUCCUUGUCGGGUAAGUUCCGACCCGCACGAAAGGCGUAACGAUUUGGGCACUGUCUCAACGAGAGACUCGGUGAAAUCAUAGUACCUGUGAAGAUGCAGGUUACCCGCGACAGGACGGAAAGACCCCGUGGAGCUUUACUGUAGCCUGAUAUUGAAAUUCGGCACAGCUUGUACAGGAUAGGUAGGAGCCUUUGAAACGUGAGCGCUAGCUUACGUGGAGGCGCUGGUGGGAUACUACCCUAGCUGUGUUGGCUUUCUAACCCGCACCACUUAUCGUGGUGGGAGACAGUGUCAGGCGGGCAGUUUGACUGGGGCGGUCGCCUCCUAAAAGGUAACGGAGGCGCUCAAAGGUUCCCUCAGAAUGGUUGGAAAUCAUUCAUAGAGUGUAAAGGCAUAAGGGAGCUUGACUGCGAGACCUACAAGUCGAGCAGGGUCGAAAGACGGACUUAGUGAUCCGGUGGUUCCGCAUGGAAGGGCCAUCGCUCAACGGAUAAAAGCUACCCCGGGGAUAACAGGCUUAUCUCCCCAAGAGUUCACAUCGACGGGGAGGUUUGGCACCUCGAUGUCGGCUCAUCGCAUCCUGGGGCUGUAGUCGGUCCCAAGGGUUGGGCUGUUCGCCCAUUAAAGCGGUACGCGAGCUGGGUUCAGAACGUCGUGAGACAGUUCGGUCCCUAUCCGUCGUGGGCGUAGGAAAUUUGAGAGGAGCUGUCCUUAGUACGAGAGGACCGGGAUGGACAUACCUCUGGUGUACCAGUUGUCGUGCCAACGGCAUAGCUGGGUAGCUAUGUGUGGACGGGAUAAGUGCUGAAAGCAUCUAAGCAUGAAGCCCCCCUCAAGAUGAGAUUUCCCAACUUCGGUUAUAAGAUCCCUCAAAGAUGAUGAGGUUAAUAGGUUCGAGGUGGAAGCAUGGUGACAUGUGGAGCUGACGAAUACUAAUCGAUCGAAGACUUAAUCAA
rnacentral:rRNA from 1 species